rnacentral:SRP_RNA from 1 species
CUCCAUCUUGGCUGGGCGUGGUGGUCAUAGCUACUGGGGAGGCUAAGGCAGGAGGAUCGCUUGAGCCCAGGAGUUCUGGGCUAUAGUGCCUAUGCCCAUCAGGUGUCCACUAAGAUCCAUGUCAAUAUGGUGACCUCCAGGGAGCUGGGGACCACCAGGGUGCCUAAGCCUAAGGAGGUCUGAAGCUGCCCAGGGAAACUAGAGCAGGUCAAAACUUUGGUGCUGAUCAGUGGUGGGAUUGCACCUGUGAAUAGCCACUGCACUCCAGCCUGGGCAAUAUAGUGAGACCCCAUCUCU